CAAGAUUAAUACCAGAAGUAGAAAGCACAGGAGCAGGCAGACUGUUUCAAUUGAAGAAGAGCAGCAGAUCAAUUAAACCUCCGAUCUAAUGGAAGCCAGCAAAGAACAACCAACAACAUCAAUUAUAUUCAUCCUCAGAGACUUAACUGCUCC